rnacentral:rRNA from 1 species
UACGGGGGGAGCAAGCGUUGUUCGGAUUUACUGGGCGUAAAGGGCGCGUAGGCGGUCGUGACAAGUCACUUGUGAAAUCUCCGGGCUUAACUCGGAACGGUCAAGUGAUACUGUCGGACUAGAGUACAGAAGGGGCAACUGGAAUUCUCGGUGUAGCGGUGAAAUGCGUAGAUAUCGAGAGGAACACCUGCGGCGAAGGCGGGUUGCUGGGCCGAUACUGACGCUGAGGAGCGAAAGCGUGGGUAGCAAACAGG